rnacentral:rRNA from 1 species
GACGAACGCUGGCGGCGUGCCUAAUACAUGCAAGUAGGACGCUGAGGGAGGAGCUUGCUUCUCCGGAUGAGUUGCGAACGGGUGAGUAACGCGUAGGUAACCUGCCUGGUAGCGGGGGAUAACUAUUGGAAACGAUAGCUAAUACCGCAUAAGAGUAGAUGUCGCAUGACAUUUGCUUAAAAGGUGCAACUGCACCACUACCAGAUGGACCUGCGUUGUAUUAGCUAGUUGGUGAGGUAACGGCUCACCAAGGCAACGAUACAUAGCCGACCUGAGAGGGUGCUCGGCGAAACUGGGACUGAGACACGGCCCAGAAUCCUACGGGAGGCAGCAGUAGGGAAUCUUCGGCAAUGGACGGAAGUCUGACCGAGCAACGCCGCGUGAGUGAAGAAGGUUGUCGGAUCGUAAAGCUCUGUUGUAAGAGAAGAACGAGUGUGAGAGUGGAAAGUUCACACUGUGACGGUAUCUUACCAGAAAGGGACGGCUAACUACGUG